rnacentral:rRNA from 1 species
GAUGAACGCUGGCGGCGUGCCUAACACAUGCAAGUCGAGCGGGGAUAAUUAAGCUUGCUUAAUUAUUCUAGCGUCGGACGGGUGAGUAACGCGUGAGUAAUCUGCCCUAUACACAGGGAUAACAUUAAGAAAUUGAUGCUAAAACCUGAUAAGCUAUCAUUAAGGCAUCUUAGAGAUAGAAAAACUGAGGUGGUAUAGGAGGAGCUCGCGUCUGAUUUGCUAGUUGGUGGGUAAAGGCGUACCAAGGCAACGAUCAGUAACCGGCCUGAGAGGGUGAACAGUCACAUUGGAACUGAGACAAGGUCCAAAAUCCUACGGGAGGCAGCAGUGUGGAAUAUUGCACAAUGGGGGGAACCCUGAUGCAGCAACGCCGCGUGAAGGAAGAAGUAUUUCGGUAUGUAAACUUCUGUCGACGGGGAAGAAAAAAAUGACGGUACCCGAAUAAGAAGCACCGGCUAAAUACGUGCCAGCCGCCGCAGUAACAC